AGAGGAGUCUACUGAACAGCUAAUCUCUACAUUGCUACUGAGAGGAGCAAUGAGUUCAUGUUCCCUUUUGCCCAAUGACUGUCUGAAAAGAUGCUGCAGAGAUGGCUAAAGAAGAACAGACAAACAAGGAAAUCAAAACAAAAGAGUCAGAGGAAUGAAGGGCGAAAAUGUUGAAGAAUACAAAUAUUGUGUUUGUCAGGACUUUGGGGACAGUUUCAUAAAUGUAUUUCUUGCCAUCGUUGCAUAUUUUACUUGGACAUCCUGUCACUUCCUCUGUCCCCUCUAUAACAGAAAUAUUUGUUAGGAAGGUUAAAGUCACUAAAAAAGUUGUUUAUGUGGCAUGUUUCUUAGCAAGAGGUCUUCUAUUCCUCUGAAAAAUGUUAAAUUACAGAGGUCAACUAAGCCUAUAGAAGGAUUAAGCAGGCUCAGGUUAGAAGGCGCCAAAUAUACUUAAAAUUUUUUUAGAUAGAAAAUCUCUGGAGGAAAGAUGUAUCUCAGAGAUUAACCCUUAUGUAUAUGCUAAAAGUUUUU
rnacentral:lncRNA from 1 species